UUGAAUGUGGUUUGAUAAGUUACUUAGUUGUUUGAAAAUGGUUAAGUUUAGGGACUUUAAAGGAGAUUUUUUUGUUUUGAAUGUGGUUUGGUAGGUAACUUAAUCCCUGGAAUAUGGUUAAGCUUAGGACUUUAUAAGGGGUUUUUUUGUUUUGAAUGUUAUUUUUUUUAUAUUUAGUUGGUUUAAAAUAGUUAGGUGUUGGCACUUUAAAUGGAUUUUUUUGUUUUAAAUGUGGUUUGGUAUGUGACUUAGUUGCUUGAAAAUGG
rnacentral:lncRNA from 1 species